GUUGUUCCACAAAUGUUCUUUUUGAGUAAAUAAACAUUCGAUUGCAAGUUAAAUUUUUAGGCAUUUUUCUCUUGGCAGAUCAGCGGCAAUGGGAAAUAUAAUAUAAAGCCCCAUCCCUUUUAAUAUUAUGCUUCCCAAUAUUUCACAGGCAGAAUGAAAUAGCCAAGGUAGCCGCUGUGUUUUACUUCGAAGAACUAUGUCAAUAUGGCCGCAUAUAUUGUGGACCUCUCUGUGAAUGCGCUUUAUGACGCGUAUAUAAAAAUAUACAUAGAUGCACUAAUGUUUUAGACUUUCCUUACCCGCUCUGGAUUUGGUAGUAAAACGGCCUCUUAUGCGAACUUGGUACUGAUAUAUCCACCCUUCCCAAAAAAGGUUAUAGUUAUAACUGCCAAAUUUCAUACCAAAAAGACGCAUUCAACGACACCCUGUACGAUCUUAAGUCUUGGCAAGCAACUAUCGGCCGGUGCGUGAGGCAUGCAAACAACUGGGCGAGAUGGGUGCGAAGCUACAAAAGCAGUAUACUGCUUGCUCAGACUUUAAAGCUUAAUUCGAAAUCCAGCACGAACAAUCGUUGAAUGAGCAACACUUUAUUGGCAACUCAAAAAAAAAAAAAAUCCAAACCAUAGCUUAAUCUUAUUGAUUGGAGUGUGAAUUACUCGUUUGAACGCGUUUGGACUUUAACUACUAAAUAAAUCAAAGUAAACAUUUUAAGAGUCCGCAUGCGAACAUUGGCUGAUGGUUGAUGGUCGGCGUCUAGUAUGUAAUCUCGCCUACCAUAGCUUAAAUUAGCGUUAAAAUACUUAAGGUAUUAAUCAAAAUUGUAUUUUCAAGCAAAAUUUGUAUAACAACAAGUAAAUUAUUGAAACAUUAAAAA